GUAACUUCUGUUACAUAAAUUAAGUUGUUUCAUUUAUAUAUAUUUUACUUAAACCACGUAAUAUCUGUCAAAAAUGUACACAUUGCUCACACUCAAGCAUUUACGACUGAUUGAAGCUACCCCAAGUAAACAGCUCUAAGCGAGUAAAUGCAAAUAAACGUAUAUGGGGAGAAAUGUUAACUAAUUGCCCCACGCCCACAUAAGAGCGUAAAGAGAUAUGUGUGAAUGUGAAUGUGAUUGUGAAUGUGAAUAAGCGUUCAAAUAACCAGCAUGACGAAUAUGCGUUUAUCGGGUGCGUUGGUGUUCCCGUAUGUAAAACUUAUCGCCCAAUUUGUUUAUAUAUUAUGUAUUUUUAUACGUAUUUAAAUAUAAUACCAUUUCCUGUCAGUGUGGUCAUGAGUUUCCUACCGAUAACUGAUUAAAAAAUCAUACGACUUCUGCAUUUGGUAGCCCCUCAUUACAGGCUUAGUGAAAGUAAUGGGCAAUUACAUGAUUUCGGUUCCAGUGUUGGUUAAUGGCUUUCGCUGCAGACAAUAAAGUCCUAAGCCAAGCUUGAUAAUAAUUAAUGAAUAACGAGUGCGUCCCAGUUAACCAGUUAA